CAAAAACACACGGAGGAAGUAGCAAGCAUCAUGCCUGGUGCAGAUCAAUUUUGCACAUCUUGAAGAGAAAUUAAAACAAACAAUGGAAUGUAGCAAAGUGGACAUUAUACUUGAUGAGUGCUGAAUAUGAAGAUUUUUUGAACAGAGGUAUAAUUACUGCAUGUUGCUUUUUUUUGAUAAAUUUAAUGAUAUGGUGAAUCUAUACUUGAUUAAAUGACUUUGAAAUAACCAAUAGAAUUUCAAUAACAACAUGUACAUAUAGUUCAUUUCAUUUACAAGCUGAUUUAAUCAUUUAUAAUGUAACCAAGCACAGAAUUCUCGAAAAACUGGUGGUCCAAAGAUUUGACCACCAAACUUUUUAAAGGACCGUCACAACUUUGGUUAUUAUUUUGCAACAGAAAUUAUAGUGAGGACCAGCAGGUUUUCUUGUAGAACCACCAGGGAAAAAAAGAUUUCGAGAACUCUACAAGCAUGCAUUCCACAACUCACUGCACUUCUUUUUUACAUGAUGGAGUUGCAAAAAGUUACCACAGAUCUAUGGACAUGAUGGACAACUAAAGGAGAAUAGUUUCAUUUGUCAAAGGACAACUAAAGGAGAAUAAUUUCAUUUGUCAAAGAACAACUGAAGGAGAAUAAUUUCAUUUGUCAAAGGACAACUAAAGGAGAAUAAUUUCAUUUGUCAAAGAACAACUGAAGGAGAAUAAUUUCAUUUGUCAAAGGACAACUAAAGGAGAAUAAUUUCAUUUGUCAAAGGACAGGAGACUUUCCAUGCCCUAAGAUUUUAAAAGCUGAAAUUGAAAAUAAGAUGCAGAGAACCAUUCAUGAAGUAUAUAUAUGAUACUGAUAUUUACAAUGUUCUCCAGAGCUAUAACUCCAGCCCUUUAGAUUACAUUACACUACUAUUGCUUACUAAUUCUACCAUCAAUAGCAGGAGAAGAGAGGAGAUUCAGCACUAUGAAUGAUCUUUGAAAUUUGCUGUGGAUGAUGACUAAAUCAAAUUUGGAUGCAUUAAUGAAAUUCAUAUAGCGAUGACAGUUACUUCAUUGAACAAGAAAAAGCUGUAAAUAUUUUCAAUGGUGCAAAACAAACAAGUUAUGAACUAUAAAAUGAUUAAAACUG